rnacentral:lncRNA from 1 species
CGGCCGCAACGAAUAGUUCUGUCUGCUUCUUGUAGCGGAAGGGAUGGCGGAAAGUGACCUUCGCGAGAGGGGCACCUCGACCGGGGUCGUGGAUGAUAUCGGUGACCACACCCUUCAGGUAGCCGUUGCGUUCGCCAAAGUCGAGGCUGCGGAACCUAGCCGGACCCUUGCGGUGGUGGGUGUGGGACUUGAAAACGGACCCCGCACCCUUACGCUGUGCGCGAAUUACCCUUCCCAUUCCGAUUCACUAGUCUGUGUUUGAGUGCGC